rnacentral:rRNA from 1 species
AGAUUGAACGCUGGCGGCAUGCCUUACACAUGCAAGUCGAACGGCAGCACGGGAGCAAUCCUGGUGGCGAGUGGCGAACGGGUGAGUAAUACAUCGGAACGUGCCUAGUAGUGGGGGAUAACCCGGCGAAAGCCGGACUAAUACCGCAUACGACCUAUGGGUGAAAGCAGGGGAUCGCAAGACCUUGCGCUAUCGGAGCGGCCGAUGUCAGAUUAGCUUGUUGGCGGGGUAAAAGCCCACCAAGGCGACGAUCUGUAGCUGGUCUGAGAGGACGACCAGCCACACUGGGACUGAGACACGGCCCAGACUCCUACGGAGGCAGCAGUGGGAAUUUUGGACAAUGGGGGAAACCUGAUCCAGCCAUGCCGCGUGAGUGAAGAAGGCCUUCGGUGUAAAGCUCUUUCAGUCCGGAACGAAACGUCACGGUUAAUAACCGUGACUACGUGACGGUACCGGAAGAAGAAGCACCGCUAACUACGUGACCAGCACGCCGCGUAAUCUGA